CAUAAGAUACAGAAACCCUUCAGCUGUGAGUUUGACAAUGAGGAACAGCAAAAACAAGUCUAUGAUUUUAACUAAAAUGUGCAGAUUCAUCAUACUGUGAGGAUUUUAAAAUGUACAGACAGGACAC